GACAGGACGUAUGAGAAGCACAAGAGACUCCUGGAGCUGUUCUGUAGGAGCGACCAGACGUGUGUGUGUGUGCUGUGCAUGGACACUGACCACAGAGCUCACGACAUUGUUCCAGCAGAGAGAGAGAGAGUAAAGCCAUGCUCUGAUGAAGAAGAGUGAGGCAGAGGUGCGUCAGAUGAUCCAGGUCAGACUGAAGAAUGUGCAGGAGAUCAAACCCUUCGUAUAGCUUAACAUAAUAAGUUCAAAGAAAGAGAAGAUGGAGGAUGGAGUGCAGGUCUUCACUGUUCUGGUGCACUGCAUCGAGAGACGCCAGGCUGAGCUCAUCGAGGUGAUUGAGGAGAAGCAGAAAGCAGCAGAGAGGCAGCCUGAAGACUUCAUCAAAGAACUGGAGCAGGAAAUCACUGAGCUGAAGAGGAGAAGCACUGAGCUGGAGUGUCUGUAACACACCGAGGACCACCUCCACCUCCUACAGUUGACGUAUCCUUGCACCCGAGCACUGCCAACCUCUGGUUGGUCCUGUCUGAAGAUGGUAAGCUGGUCUGGGACGGGGACACGAAGCAGAGCCUCCCGGACCUACUGGGAGGUUGAGGUGGGUUUGUACUGAAAUUGAAAAACCAUUUAACCUAAUGAAGGUCUAUUGAGACAAAAAUACUUGUUAAAAGACAUUCAAUCUGUGGAGCAUCAGGAUCACCAAAGGGCUGGAGUUUGUUUUAUUUUUCAGUAUACAGUUUCUGUCCAUGCACCUGGUGAUACUGUUGGUAUAGGUAAUCGUACAGGAACCUUACCUAUAGGUAUUAGAAAUGCUACUACAAGACUAUAAGUGUGUGAGUUAUACUUUUUCAAUUGGUCCAGGUCAGAGACGAGACAGCUUGGGAGCAAGGCGUGGCCAUGGAGUCCAUCAACAGGAAGGGUGUGGUCACGCUGAGCCCCGAGGAGGGCUAUUGGAUGAUAUAUUUGAGGAGAGGAAGUGAGUAGAGACAGUCUGUGUUAAUCCACCUAGGAGAGAAACCGUGGAAGGUGGGGGUGUUUGUGGUUUACGGUGAGGGGAUGGUGUCAUGUGAUGGGCAGGUCACCUAUUUAUUAGUUCACGGGGAAACCAGUUCACUGAGAGAGUGUUACCUUUGUUCAACCCCGAUAUGAGUGACAGCGGGAACAACAAAUCGCAGCUCAUUAUAUGUUCUGUUGGUGUUGUCAAUGGUGGCGGGACUUUGGAUGACGACAUCAUAAUAUUAUAUGUACUUUGCUAUGGACAAUCCAUUUCCUUUUGAAAGCGCCCUAAAGAGGACAAUGGAAAACAAAAGAGGUUUUACUUAAAUGUUUAAAAGCAGAGCCUCUUUAUUGAUACAUAGCUAUUCAUAUUUACCUGAUCUGAUCUGGGCUAUAGAAACGACUUCUCUGUAAGAUUCACAUGUUCUUUUGUUGAAUUAAAUUAA